rnacentral:lncRNA from 10 species
CCAGGCUGGAGUGUAAUGGUGCAAUCUCGGGUCACUGCAACUUCAAGCGAUUCUCCUGCCUCAGCCUCCUGAGUAGCUGGGAUUACAGGCAUGUGCCAUUAUGCCCAGCUAAUUUUUGUACUUUUAGUAGAGACGCAGUUUCACCAUGUUGGCCAGGCUGGCCUUGAACUCCUGACCUCAAGUGAUGCAUCCACCUUGGCCUCCCAAAGGGCUGAAAUUACAGGUGUGAGCCACCUCGCACGGCCAGUUCCCUAUUUUUAUCAGUGCACUUUACCAUUUAUCUACUCAAUUCCUCACCCAUAUGCAAGGCUGCCCUUUUCUGAAGGAUGCUAGUGGUGAAUCCAUUGAAAAAUCCACUGAUUGUGUUCCCCUAGGGCCUCUUCAAGAUGGAAAGAUUCAGGUGGGGCACGGUGGCUCACACCUGUAAUCUCAGCACUUUGGGAGGCCGAGGUGGGCGGAUCACCUGAGGUCAGGAGUUCAAGACCAGCCUGGCCAACAUGACAAAAUCCGUCUCUACUAAAAAUACAAAAAUUAGCCGGGGUGGUGGCUUGUGCCUGUAAUCCCAGCUACUCAGGAGGCUGAGGGAGGAGAAUCGCUUGAACUCAGGAGGCAGAGGUUGCAGUGAGCCAAGAUUGUGCCACUACACACCAUCCUGGGUGACAGAGUGAGACUCUGUCUCAAAAAAAAAAAGCCAGGUGCAGUGGCUCACGCCUGUAAUCCUAGCACUUUGGAGACCGAGGCAGGUGGAUUGCCUGAGCUCAGGAGUUUGAGACCAGCCUGGCCAACAUGGUGAAACCCCGUCUCUACUAAAAUACAAAAAAAUUAGCUGGGCGUGGCAGCAUGUACCUGUAGUCCCAGCUACUCAGGAGGCUCAGGAAGGAGAAUUGCUAGAACCUGGGAGGUGGAGGUUGCACUGAGCCAAGAUUGCACCGCUGUACUCCAGCCUGGGUGACAGAGUGAGACUCUAUCUGGAAAAAAAAAAAAAAAAAAAAAAAAGAUUCUACAGUGAGCACAAAGGUGAAACUCACCUUGAAUGCUUUUACCAAUUGAGUGUGGAUGAACUAAUUCAGAGUAUUGCGGGCCCCUGCUGCAGCAAACACAGAGCUCCCAAAAUGCUCAGGCUAUUGGGAGGCAACUGCCUUGUCAGGGUGGCCAAUGGUUUCCCCAUUGCCAAAUCGGACAGUUAACUCCAGUCCUUGUCUGACUGGAGGCCUGCAGAUCACUGCCUCCUCUGUAACGCUCUUUACCCCCAACCCAGGGAUCCAAGAUGCCCUACUCUAGGAUCAUUUUCUCUGCCUCAUUCAUCACUCAGACUCCUUCAUUUGUUCCUUCUCUUCUCCCUCCUCUGAGUGCUGCAGAGCCCGGGUUUCCAUCCUCAGACCCCUGCCCUGCCUGCUCUCUGUCCCAAGGCAGCACUGCCAGCAUCCGAAAUAAAAAUCCAGCCCUCCUAUUCAUAGUGACAUCGAAUUUCAGAUCAACGACAAAGAGUUUUAUGGCAUAAGCAUGUCCCAAAUAUUGCAUGGCCCCAAAUAUUUACUUAGUUAAUAAGUAAAAAUUGCACAAGACAUACUUAUGCUAAAGAGUAUUGACUAUUUGUCUGAGUCCAAAUGUCUCUGGGCAUGCUGGGUUUCAUCAGGUAAUCCUGCCAUGAUUUCAGUUUCAAGGUGAUACCAUCUAUGGUGACUCUUCUGAAAAUGUUUAUCUCUAGCCUAGGUCUCUCUCCUGAACUGCAGACUCCUGCUGCCUCCAGCACAUCGCCACUUGGGUAAUGAAUAGGUGUCUCAACCUGAACAUGUCAAAAACAACACUCAUUUUUCCCCCCAAUUCCUUGCCGUUCUCACAGGUAGUCUCGUCCCCCCAGCUGCUCACCCACAAGCCUUGCACUCAGCCUUGACUCUGUUCUUCUCACACCCCAUAUCCAGUCUGCCAGGAGGUCCUUGGUCCUCCUGGGCUACACUAAUAGUGCCUCUUGCUGGUCACUGCAACCACCUCCCAUUCCUUUCCCUGCAUUGUCCUGUGCCUCACAUGGUUUUUUUCUCAACAUGCCAGCCAGAAUGACUCUUUGAAAACUUUCUCAUGCCAUGUCACUUUUCAGCCCAUCGCCCUGCAGCAGGUCCCCAUGUUACUCAGUGUAAAAGCCCAAGGUCCUUGCCCCAUCCUGCAAAGCCCCUGUGACUCUGUGGUCUCUGGAACCUUAACUCUUCCACUCUUCCUCCAGACCACUCCCUCUCCCGCAGCCUCCUGGGUGCUCCCACCAGCCAGCAUGCUCCUGCUGCGGAGCUGUGGCCCUGGCUCCUUCCUUCCUCCCGGAAUGCUCUUGGCUCCGGUGUGCAUCAUGGAGAUAGCUCCUGUCUGCCCCCAAAUCGCUGCUCAAACCUCACCUCAGUGAGGCCGGCGCUGACCUCAUCACUGACCUAUUCACCUUCCAAACUGCUCACCUCCCAGGACUCUGAUACUCCUUCCCAACUCUUUUUCAUUCUUCCAUAAAUAACAAUGUCUAACUUAUUAGGCAAUUUCUUCAUUAUAAUUGUCCUUUGUUUUCAGUCUCUUCUCACUAGAAAGGAAAGUCCAUAAUGCCCAGAAUCUUUGUUGGGUUCCCUGAAGAAUGCCAGGCUCCCGGAAGAGGGCCUGCCUCCCAGCAGGCACAUGUGUGUGGAAUGAAUGAAUGAAUGAAUGAAUGAGGCUUGUGCAAACUAACUGCUUGCAGGAAACACCUGCUCCUUCCUGGGCACUGGGUGAAAUCUUUCGUAGAAGUUAACCAUUGACUCUUCUCCCCACCAGCCUCCUCCGUCCCUCACAGUUAAAUGCAGCUGGAAGAGGGGUUGCCCUGUACCUCCAGCUAGGUGGACUCCCCAGGAAAGAGUGACAUCUCACCACUGAGCCACCUCAGCCUUUUCCAGAGACAAGCCUUCUCUAGGCCAAUCAUCAGUGUCACAGCUAUUUGUUCUUGGGAUUUGUGGCUCUAUAUUCACAUGUAAGAAGCCAAGGCACCCAUGGGGAGCCACAGGCACCAACAGAAUACACUGAAAUCAAUCUUGCUGCGACUGGGGCUACAAGCAUGGUUACUUGGCUCACCACAGGAGAACCCAUUGCAUGACUUUCCCACACAAGUUGCAUUCCUUUUCUUUGCUCCAGAAAUGUGAACUCCAGUUGCUUCAUAUUCCUGCCACAGCUGGUGUAUUUCAUCUUCUGUAUUUGAAUCAUUCUGAUGGAUGUGUUCAAGUGAGGUUGACCAUCUUUUCUAAAGUUUGCUGGUGGCUGGGUGCUGUGGCUCGUGCCUGUCAUCCCAGCUACUUGGGAGGCUGAGGCAGGAGAAUUGCUUGAAGCUAGGAGGUGGAGGUUGCAGUGAGUCGAGAUCACACCGCUGCACUCUAGCUUGGGUGACAGAGUGAGACUCCAUCUCCAAUAAAUAAAUAAAUAAAUAAGUAAAGAAUAAGAAUAGGUUUUACACAAUAAUAAAUGUAAAUGAUAAGAUAGAUAAACACUUUGAAAGACCUUAAACUUCAUAUGUAAGGUACAAAAAUUAAAAUUGAUGUUCAUCAAAAUUGUAAAAUUUUCAAAACAUUUUCAAGGCAUUAGCAAAGUGGUGACGAGUAUUGGUACAUUCAGUAGUGCAUGUAAUUAGUCACAAAACCCUCUUCUUCUGGGACUUCAUCUUAGAAAUUUAACCAAAAGAAGAAAAAUGUGUGUGUUGUCAUGGUGGUAUACUAUAGAGGUAAAGAAUAUGAUCUUCUGAGUUAGGCACACUUGACUUGAAAUCCUGCCUCUGAUAUUUACUAGCUAACCUGGAGGAAGUGACUAAACAAAGCUAAGCUUCAGGUCCUCAUUUAUAAAAUAGAAAAAAAAAUAUAUCUGACACAAAGUGCUUAGUGCCCAGUACAUAGAAGCAAGUGCCAUUGAAGAAUGAGCCGCAGUAGGUGAAGGCUGGCCACGCGCAAUAUCCCACAGGAGGACAAUUAAAAAAAAUACUAUAUGCUAAGUAGGUAGAGUACUUGAAAAACAUCGAGAAGAUAAUUAGGACAGUUCUGAUAAGUUAAUGUGUUUAGGUUGUGCUAGGUAAAAAUACGGUAACAAUUUUCUAUAUCCACUAUGAUUAUAGCUAAAUAAAAUAUGCAUGCAUAUAAACAAAGACUAGAAAAGAAUGUGAUAAAGAAAAAGGAGAAAGAUGAUUUUAUGGAGACUUAAAACUUUUCCUUAAAUGUACGUAUAAUAUAUAAAAACCAAGAAUAAAAGUGAUGUCUAAAAGAAACUCAUUUGAGUUAUAGGAGUGGAAAGAGAAUGUCCCAACUGCCCCUGGUAAAAGGUGACACAGCUGGGUGCAGUGGCUCACACCUGUAAUCCCAGCAAUUUCAGAGGCCAAGGCAGCAGGAUCACUUGAGCCCAGGAGUUCGAGACAUGACUGGGCAACAUGGUGAGUCCUUGUCUCUACAAAAACAAAAUUUAAAAAUUAGCCAGGCAUGUUGGCUCACAUUUGUAGUCCCAGCUACUCAGGAGGCUGAGGAGGGAUGAUUGCUUGGGCUGAGGAAAUCAAGGCUGCAGUGAGCCAUGAUUGUGCCACUGCACUCCAGCCUGGGCAACAGAGAAAGGCCCUGUCUCACCAAAAAAAAAAAAAAAAAGAGAUGCAAGUGAUAAUGUUCAUUCAUUUAAUUAGCAUUUAUUGGACUCUAUUGUUCCAGAUCUUUGAAAACAAGUAUCUUGCCCUCACAAACUAGUAGGGAAUAAACAUAUAAAAACAAUCAAUUAAAUCCCAUUGUGUGAAAUGCAUUAAUAGAGAUUAAUACAAGGCAACACUAUCUUUGACAGGAGUUGGGCUUCCUAGAGCAGAUGGUAAGAUAGUCUUAAAGGCUGUGGGAGGUUAGCUAACUGAUGAGGGGUGAGGUAAGGGUGGUCCUUGGAAAAGUAUGUGCUGUGAUGUGAACUUUCCCACCAAAAUUCAUGUUGACAUUUAACUGGCAAUGUAACAGAACUGGAAGGUGGGACCUUGAAGAGGUGAUUAGGUCAUGAGGGCUAUGGUCUCACAAAUGGAUUAAUGCUGUUUUGAGGGAGUGGGUUUGCUAUCACGGGAGUGGGAUACUGAUAAAAGGAUAAGUUUGGUCCUCAUUUUCUCUCUGUCUCUCGUGCAUGCUUCCUUACAAUGUGAUACCUUUGCCAUGGGUUUACUCUCCCAGAUGCAAUGCCAUGCUCUUGGACUUCGCAGUCUCUAGAACUGUGAGCCAAGUAAACCCCUGUUCUUUAUAAGUGAUCCAGUCUGUAGUAACCGGUUAUAGCAGUGAAAAACGGACUCAGACAGUAUGGAAAGAGAUAAGAGAUGAAACUAGAGAGAGAGAGAGAGAGAGAGAGAGCCAGAUCAUGAAACAUCUUGCAUGUCAUUCUAAAUAAUUUGACUUUUCUCCUGAAAUAAAAAGUAGAAGAAGAGGUUUCUUUGAAGUCAUUCAAGAGUAGAGGGGCCCUGUACUAACCCAGGAGCAGUGGUGGUGAGAGGAGAGGACUUUGGAGAAAUAUCUUUGAGAAGAGAAUUAACAGGAUGCUUUGAGGGCUGUGAGGGAAGAGAAUUAAUAGGAUGCUUUAGGGGUUGGUGGGGGGAAAAGAAGCAAGAGGAACAGGGAAGAAUAGAAGAUAACUUCAAAGUCAUCAGUUGCACCAAAGUGUGGAACUAGAAAGUUGGGAAAUUGGACCUCAGAGAACUGGCCAAGUUGGGGCCAAAGGUUUGUUUUUGGACUUGUUCAAUUUGAGCUUCCUUUGGGACAGAUAAAUGAAGAUAUUUACCAGGUUAUUGGAUAACUGUCUGAGGUUUAGGGAAAAAAUGCCAACUGGAAAUAUAGAUCUGAAAGUUACCUGUAUAUUAAUGGAUGGGGUGAAGGGAGGAGGAAAGAGUGGUCAUUUUUUGAGGUUCUACAUUAUUUCUGGUGCUUCACACAUUCUGUCUCAUUUGAACAUCACAACUAGACCCAUGAAUUUUGUGUAUAAGGAACGUUGAGUCUCCAAAACUUAAGAAUUAGGACUCUGGUUGCAAAUGACAAAGCUAGCUUAAUGGUAAAAUUUAUUAUAAGAAUACAGGGGACUCUCGGGGUACCCAAAUUCAGAGAGGAGAGCAGCAUGUUCUCAUUUUUGUUUUGCAAAACUCACUUUUGCAAAGGCUGUGGGUGAGAAGCAGACUGGAGGGGGCAAGAACAGAGACACGGAGGCCAGCUGGGAUCCUUUUCUUUUCUGCUGCCUCUCUUGCAAAUCAAUCUUGAAGCUAAGUUUCAUUGAACUAGACAUAGCUUUGGCUUUAAACCAAGAUAAAAUGAGCGAUCCUGGAGAAAAGAUCUCCUAUACCUUCUGCCAACUUUUGUCUGAUAGUUGCCUAAUUUCAGUGCUAUUUUUUGGGUGUAAAACUGACUCUCUCUAUAUAAACUCAAAACGCAUGUACUACAGAUGGACUUUCAAUGACACUUCGUAGAAUGAUCAUGAGUUUAAGUAGAAAUUGUCUUUUUACUCUUUCAUGUUAAUAGAAUUUUGUUUCAGCCUUGCCUUUGGAUCUGAAAUCCUAGGAAAUACAGUGGAAAGAAUUCUGUGGUGAGAAUCAUUAAACACUGAGUCUGGUUCAGCGCUGCUUCCUGUUACUUGUGUGACCCUGGACAGGCAAACCCAGCCUCCCUGGCUCUGAUCCCUCCUCUGUUAAAUGAGGGAUUUGGAUUGACACGAGUACUUCUCAAACUUUAGUGAAUCUUCUGGGGAUGUUGUUAAAAUGCAGUAUGUAUUCACCAGACCUGGGGUGGGGCCUGAGACUCUGCAUUUCCAACAAGUUCCUAGGUGAUACUGAUGCUGCUGGCUCAGGAUCGCACUCCAAUUAGGCCACCCUCCAAGGUGCCAUCAUGCUGUAAGCUAUAACAACUACCAAAUAAAGAAAAGCAUUAUGUCAACAAUGGAUAACAAUAAAUACUUAUUUUAGAAAAUAAAUAUAGCUUUUUCUUUUUUUGAAACAGGGUCUUACUUUGUCACCUAGGCUGGAGUGCUGUGGCAUGAACACAGCUCACUGCAGCCCCGACCUCCAGGGCUCAGGUAUCCUCCUGCCUCGGUCCCCCAAGUAGCUGGGACUACAGGUGUGCACCACCAUGGUUGGCUAAUUUUUGUGUUUUCUGUAAAGACAGGGUUUUGCCAUGUUGCCCAGGCUGGUACAAAUAUAGCUUUAGUUUUCUGUUUGUAAAAGUAAUGCAUGCUUACGAAAAUUGUUCUUAAAAAAAUCACAUAGGCCGGGCGCGGUGGCUCACGCCUGUAAUCCCAGCACUUUGGGAGGCCGAGGAGGGCGGAUCACGAGGUCAGGAGAUCGAGACUAUCCUGGCUAACACGGUGAAACCCCGUCUCUACUAAAAAUACAAAAAAUUAGCCGGGCGUGGUGGCGGGCGCCUGUAGUCCCAGCUACUGGGGAGGCUGCGGCGGGAGAAUGGCGUGAACCCAGGAGGUGGAGCUUGCAGUGAGCCGAGAUCGCGCCACUGCACUCCAGCCUGGGCGACAGCGAGACUCCGUCUCAAAAAAAAAAAAAAAAAAAAAAAAAAUCACAUACCAUGCAAUGACAGUAAAAAUCAUCCCAAGUUUCAUACCACUUGAACUAAUGUGCUCUAUUGUCACUUGGCUAUGAAGAAUACAAGUGCUAGGUUUCAGUAUUGGCAUCGUAUUACCUUGUCUUUUAAAAUCAGGUUGUGAAACUGGUAUCUUUUUCAAUUUGUUGCCAAUCAGUUAUGCGUUAAUUGAUUUGAAUUCAGUUCCUUCUGUUGUGGUAGAUUUGCUUCUGUAUCGUAUGAUUUCAAGUUGCUCAUUGCCUGAAUUCAGGACAGGGUAGUGGGUGGCUUUCUGGGGCCAUCUCAGGCGGGCUGAAUUGACCUGAAGAUGGCAAUAAGAGAAAAAAGCCAAGUAAAUAUCAAGAACAAUUUUUAGCAUAAAAUUCAGUGUUAAGAUUCAUUGAGAGCUAAUCAAUAGAAACGAAGGUUCUGUAAAUACAUCCAUCUUAUGGGAAUAACUUAGGUCAUAACCAUUGUUGGCAAAGGAGGAAAUUUUUCUUAGUUCCUCUGCACUUUCCCCAAUGAUAUUAAUGUUACACCUCUUUGAUCGUACUUGAAAUGAUUGUAAUAAUAACGAGAGCCGUAAGAGUUUGUUGGUCAUAAAAACAUACAACAUUUUAAGAACUUUAUUGGGUUUUUAUUGACAUAUAUAACUAUUAAAUAUAAGAUUAUAGACCCCAAAUAUCAAAUUAACUUUAGCAUUUACAAUUUUCCUUUGUCUCCUCUAAGCAGCCACAAUUUCCAAUGUAGCACAUAAUGAGGUCAUCAUAGUUGCAAAUCUAUAUCUUCAUAUUGUAUAACUUGAGAACAUUUUUAAACUCAGUGUAUAGGUUUGUGUGGAUGUUGUAUCAAUGUUCACAACACGAGGCAAGUGGAAAUAAAGCAAAAAUACUGUUAAUGUGUAAUAACAUUGUGCUAACAGAAUGGGCAAUUUGUAACAAUGCCAUCAGUGACUCCACUAUCUAGCACAACAGUUAAUACAUAGUGUGUAAGUUCACAUUUCAGAUAAGUGAUAGUUAUCAUUUUAAGUACCAAAACUUAGGUUUAAAGAAGUUUCUGAGAUAUGCAGAAUUCUACCUCUCACUGGGCUUUGAAAAUAUGUUACUCCUCAGGACUCACCGUGUCGUAAGCAUCACUGAUUAUUGUUUAUGUCUGUUCUAAAUUGCAGAAACAGUUUCAGAAACCUAGGUUAUUUGGUUUUUAGUCCUAAUCUUGUUACUGUAAAAGUCACACGUGUUCAUCCAUUGUAGAAAGUUCUCCAAAGUGCAAUCACAUAUAAAGAAGCAAAUAAAAAUCAUCCUCAAUCUCACUCUCCAGAAGUAAUGAUUAUUAACAGUUUCAUGAUCUUCAUCACACUGCAUUAAGUUUCCCAGAGCUGCCAUCACAAAUUAGCACAAACUGUGUGACUUAAAACAACAGAAAUUUAUUCUCUUACAGUUCACGAGGCCAGGAAUCUAAAAUUAAGGCAUCAGCAGGGUUGGGUCCUUCUGGAGGCUCUCAGAGAGUCUGUUCCAUGCGUCUCUCCUGGUUUCUGGUGUUUGCCAGCAAUCUUUGAUUCAUAGACACAUCAUUCCCAUCUCUACCUCCGCCAUCACAUGGCCUUAUUCUAUGUGUGUGUCUUUCUGCAUCCUCUCCUCUUUUUAUAAGGACACCAGGUAUUGGGUCUAUAGCCCAUCCUAAUCCAGAAUGACUUCGUCUCAGCUGAUUAACAUCUGCAAAGACUCUGUUUCUAAACAAAUUCAUAUUGUGAGGUUCUGGGUGAACAUGAAUUUGUGGGGGACACUGGGGGACACUUAUUCAACCCACUACACACACUGUAAUAUAUAUUUAUAGAAUCACGAAAACGGGACCAUAAUUUAUAUAAAGCUUAGUUCCCUUUACACUUAAGAUACCAUGAAUUUCCCUAGGUCUUUCAAACACAGAAUUUUAAUUUUUUGUAGAGUGUUUCAUCAUAUGAAGAUUACAUCAUUUCCAUAGCUAACCUGCUACUUCAAACACUCAGAUGGUUUCCAGACUUUACUAUUAUAAAUGGCUCUGAUGAAUAUACAUGUUCCCAAAUCUUUGAAUUUAUCUCUGCUUAUGUCCUUGGUAUAAAUUAUUCUGAGUCGAAUUAUUGGAUUAAGGGGUAUGAACAUUUUAAAGGCUCAUGAAAAAUCUUCUUUAAUUGAAUUCCAGAGAUUGUAUCAAUUUGCCAUCACCAGCAGAAGAGAGAACCCAUGGCAUUGCAUUCUCUGCACUGCACGUUCUAGCUUUUUGAGUGUUGGACAAGUGACUAGGCAAAGAAAUAACAUCCUUACUUUGUGACUUGUAUUUUUAUGUAAGGUUGCCUCUUUGUUUACGGACCACUUAUAUAUCUUUUUUAGGUUACCAAUUUAUGAUUUGUGUCUCCUUUUCAAUUUUUUUCUCCUCUCUCCAACUGCCAGUAUUUAUUUCUUACCAUCUCACGGAUGAGUAUACUGUCCACCUCCACCCCUUUUAGAGUCCACUGUUAGCUAAGAAACUAUGUAGAUGUAUCCUCCCUCUCCUUUUCCCAUUCUCGAACCACCUCUGAAUCUUGUACAAAUGUCAAUCAUUGCCUCCAUUGUGUCUUAACUGUUUACAUUUCGCUUUCCCUUCUAAGACUUUGAGCACUUUGGGGCCAUUUCCAUGUCUUAUCUGUGUUUUUGUAUCUUCAGCAACUAACAUGGAUGCUCAAUAAACAUACAUUGAACUGAGUUGUUACGUUGUGACCUGGAAAUAUUCACAAUUCCUUGUAUAGAUAGAAAUAGCUAAAUAAGGGCACAUAAGGAUAGACUCUAAAUGGCACUCAAUAAUGUGCAUAGGGCUGGGCGUGGUGACUCCCUGCCUGUAAUCACAGCACUUUGGGAGGUGGAGGUGGAUCACCUGAGGUCAGGAGUUAGAGACCAGCCUGGGCAACAUGGUGAAACUUCGUCUCAACCAAAAACACAAAAAAUCAGCUGGGUGUGGUAGUGUAUGUCUGUAAUCCCAGCUAUUUGGGAGGCUGCAGCACGAGAAUUGCUUGAACACAGGAGGUGGAGGUUGCAGUGAGCUGAGAUCGUAUCAUUGCACUCCAGCCUGGGCAACAGAGCAAGACUCUGUCUCAAAAAAAAAAGCAUAGGAUUUAAUCCAUGAAUUUUGAAUUUCUAUGUUAAAUUUUUAGAAAUAGUAACUUUUUCUCCCAUAUUUCUCAGCUAUAUCUGAGAUAACUGGGACUGAGCAACAUUGUCUAGACAGGCAAAGUGUUAGCAAUAAUAAGUAUAAUAAUAAUUGUAAUGUAAUAAUGGAAUGAGGAUGUUAAAGUACUGAGAUCAGGAUAAAAGUUACAAUUGUCCAAAUUUUAAAUUUCCUAUCAUUUCCACUGAAAUCACUGACUGUACUUAUAACAUUAUCAGGAAUUUAUGCAAUUUGUAGGUUUUGAAAUAAAUUACCAUUCAGAAUUCAACCGUGAAAAACAGUGUAACUCUACUUGAAAAACACUUUGAAAAACUCAAGUUUCCACCAAAUCUAGAAGCACAUGGGUCGUAAAACAUAGUUCGAAAAGUUACGAGAGAUGAUGACUACAAGGAACUUUUUAUAAAAAUCUUUUAUAAGCAUUACUCUGUGGUCAAAUUUAUUUUCACAUGGAUAUUAAAACAAGUUAUUGCUAC